rnacentral:rRNA from 1 species
GGGAUAACGUAGCGAAAGUUACGCUAAUACCGCAUAUUCUGUGAGCAGGAAAGCAGGGGAUCGCAAGACCUUGCGCUAUACGAGCGGCCGAUGUCAGAUUAGCUAGUUGGUAGGGUAAAGGCCUACCAAGGCGACGAUCUGUAGCGGGUCUGAGAGGAUGAUCCGCCACACUGGGACUGAGACACGGCCCAGACUCCUACGGGAGGCAGCAGUGGG